AGCCGAUCUGGCAAACGCCGGAACUUUCCACCACUGAAAUAUAAGCACGGCGUUGAGUGAUCCAUUUGUCAGAGGUAACAAUUUAUGAAUCUGAUUAUUUGGCACGACAUGAGCAAAUGAAGACACGAGUUUGUAAUUGCAGCUUAACUGCAUGCGCACGCAGUGUUCGGGAUGCGCAGAUGCCCACCUACACUGAUUCUUUGGGAGAGUUCAUCAGUUCAACUUCUGUGUCUGAUCCUCCGGGUUUCCAAGUUGGACAUUUGGGAGAGGAAAACUAUUUGAAUAUUUGACAGCGAGCCAGUUGAGAGAUACAAUGGGGUUUCCUCAUCAACGGCAACAUCUCCUGGGACUACUUGGACACUGUACUUCCUGACGUUCAUCACAUUCAGGGCUCAUGUCAUCCAAGUUAUGUUUUCGUUACUCUCGCACUCCAGCUCUACUUUUAAAUUAUUCAUGUGUGACACGGGAAUGCAUUCCUCCUCAUCAGAGGGCUCGGGUAGCCUGCGUCUUCACGCCCAGAGCUGCUGUACAGGCACUGAGCCUGGAGCCCCCCGCUGCUGCGCCAUCAACCCUGUGACAGGAAGCCAAUGGACAUGUCUCCAUCGCCCUGCAUCGUAACAGUGAGACAACAGCGCCACCAUGAGGCCGAGCAGGAAAACAUUACCUCGCAUGCCACGCGGGACCCAAACGACCAUUGUAGCUUCUCAAGAGAAAAUCUUUAGAAAAACAAUGCUUCAUCAUGUUUCACAUUUUGUCACCAUUAUAUUGUUGAACAGAUCAUUUCAGGAAUACCAGGGAGAGGAGAGCUCAAUCAUGAACUAGAGACCAUCUUGUGAUGGGAUCACAACAUCCGCAACACCCAAUCGGGCCAGGGGUGUAACAAUGGCCCAUCCCCCACUACUUCCGACAGCCUUGCUUGGACCACACCCAUCUGUACACCUGGCGAAGUACUUAAACAGCUUAGGUAUGUAUACACAUUUAAGAAAUCCUGCAUUGGAUAUCGUUUCUACACUGUGACAAUAUCACACGGAGCUCUUUCUUCCAUCUCUUGUGGAUGUAACGUAUGCACCAUGAAAGCAGGAAUGAAUAUUCAAGAUAUCUGGUGCAUCCAAUCUUCAGAUUUCCCACCAAGAUACAGCCUGUUGUGUUUGGAUCUUGAUGACAAUCUCAGUAGGUUAGGACACUCAUAAGCUAGAUAGCUUCGGCCUUGACUCUUUCGGUCAGCCCCUUUCUUCUUUUGUUUAUUACUGAUGGUUGUAUAUUUUGCUGAUGGAAAUAAACUCAACACAACUAAACUUUA